rnacentral:rRNA from 1 species
AACGUAGGUUCCGAGCGUUAUCCGGAUUUACUGGGCGUAAAGCGCGUUCAGGCGGUUUGGCAAGUCGGGCAUGAAAUCCUUCGGCUCAACCGGGGGAGGUUGUCCGAUACUGCUGAACUGGAGGGCAGUAGAGGGUGGUGGAAUUCCGGGUGUAGUGGUGAAAUGCGUAGAGAUCCGGAGGAACACCAGUGGCGAAAGCGGCCACCUGGACAGUGACUGACGCUGAGACGCGAAAGCGUGGGGAGCAAACAGG